UUGGUUUUACAAUUUGAGUUUAGGGUUUGGGUUAAGGGUUUAGAGUUUGGGUUUACGGGGUUUUGGGUUUAGGGUUUGGGUUUAGGGUCUACGGUUUGGGUUUAGGGUUUAGAUCUUCAAGGUUAGGGUUUAGGUAGCUCCGUUAUGGACGAUGGUUUGGUUUUACAAUUUGGGUUUAGGGUUUAGGUUAAGGGUUUACGGUUUGGGUUUAGGGUUUAGAAUUUGGGUUUAGGGGGGUUUAGGGUUUAGGUAGCUCUGUUUGGGUCUAUGGUUUGGGUUAAGAAUUUAUGUUUAGGGUUUGGAUUUAUGGUUUAGAGUUUUGGUUUAGGGUUUAGGUAGCUCCGUUAUGGUUUACGGUUUGGGUUAAUAAUUUGAGUUUAGGGUUUGGGUUUAGGGUAUACGGUUUGGGUUUAGGGUUUAAGGGUUGUCUUUUGAGACUAUAUUACAUUUUAUAUAGUAGUAUAGCAUGUGCAUUGGAGUCAUUUGCACGCACACGCGCUUCGGAAGCUAUUACGGACAAUUUUAGGUGAACUUGUCACAUCGAUGGGUUUUUACUGUAGAAUGACUAUAUUCUUCAUUUUAGUGUUCGAAUAUUCAGCAAAUUGUCCCAAUAAAUUUUUAUUAGUUUAUUUUUAAUUCUGAAUCUGAAGCAAAUAUAUUAUACUCCGUCUGUUCCUAAAUAUAAAAUGUUUUAGGUAGUAUACGCUUAUUAAGAAAAUUAUUUUUUAUCUAAAAAGUAUCAUUAAAAUUA
rnacentral:lncRNA from 1 species